rnacentral:tRNA from 1 species
AAUUUGACUAUUUUGGCAGAUUGAGUGUGGUAGAUUUAGAAUCUAUUAAUAUGAUUAAAUAUCAUAG